GAUGAAGAACGUAGUGAAAUGCGAUAAGUAAUGUGAAUUGCAGAAUUCAGUGAAUCAUCGAAUCUUUGAACGCACAUUGCGCCCGCCAGCACUCUGGCGGGCAUGCCUGUUCGAGCGUCAUUUCAACCCUCAGGCCCCCGGGCCUGGCGUUGGGGAUCGGCGGAGCCCCCCGUGGGCACACGCCGUCCCCCAAAUGCAGUGGCGGUCCCGCCGCAGCUUCCAUCGCGUAGUAGCUAACACCUCGCGACUGGAGAGCGGCGCGGCCACGCCGUAAAACACCCAACUCUUCUGAAGUUGACCUCGAAUCAGGUAGGAAUACCCGCUGAACUUAAGCAUAUCAAUAAGCGGAGGA
rnacentral:misc_RNA from 1 species